rnacentral:lncRNA from 1 species
CUCCCAGUCUGGCUAUGCACAUGGUUUGGCCACUGCGUUUUGUAUGUGAAAUUAGCUCAUGAGCAGGUUAAAUGUCUCACAAUUUCUUUAUGCAAUCACCAGCAAGUAAAUUAGGCAAAGAAAUGCCGCAUAAGAAGGUCAUCUGGGAACUUUAUACAGAUAGUAUAUCAUCGAAUGAAAUGCAUUAUAUGAAGUGUAACCCAUACAUAGGAAUUUAUACAGAUGGUAUAUUAAAGAAUCAAAUGCACAAUAUGAAGUAGUACACGUUAUGGGUUCAUGGUCUUCUACAUCCAGAACAAAGAUUACAUGAUUACAGUGGUACACGUUGCUGAUGCUCAGUGUUGGUGGUUCAGUUCUGGCAUAUGCUCAGAAAAAUGAAAUCACCUUAUAGCAUCUAGGAGGCUGGGCAUGUAGUCGUUGUGGCAAUGCAUCAUCUUAUCAUCUUGCAGGACAUUUUUUCAACCUUCCAUGCCUGCCAUAUAUAAGUGGUUAAUUAUCACUCAGAAUUUAUUUAAGGGCAAAAAUCUUAUCGGCUGGCAACAGUAUAAUCUUCAGCGGCCUACCAUUCUCAGUAAUGAAGACAGGUGGAUUUCCAUACUGCUCUUUGAGAUAACAUGUUUCACCAGAGUGAACAUUCCCAAGGAACUAUGUGCAGCCAACUCGAUGCUGCCUGAAUGUAGACACAUAUAUGUGUAUUAUCAACUGAACAUUUGAUUAAAUAAGAUGGCAAACAAAAGUUUAGAGAAAAUCUGAAGCUACAAGUAUAACAUUUCUCCUAUUCUCCUUCCAUGCUUGUUCAAAUGGACAAAUCAUGUUGUUCUUAUGAUCCUGAUAAAUACAAAAAAAUCCACAACAAUAAUCCAAACCUAAAAAAGGUCAAAUAAAUCAGUACGGAGUAACAAGUGCAGCAGCAUGUUUAAAAUGCUUAACAUCAGUUACUUGUCUAAAUAAUCACAUACUAUGCAGUAACAAACAAACAUAUAGAAAUUUCAUUUACCAACAAAACAACCGAUGCUAAAUUCGUAAGACAAUUUAUGUAAACUCUGGCAUUCCACUAACUUAAUUAGGAUCAUCUUGCCAAAUCAAGUUAACUGCUAUGAUCAACUCAUUCAACAUCUCAGGUAACAAUUCAUGAAUAAACCAAUCCUACAUGAUAUCAUCUAAUUAAGACACAUUACAACAAUCAGGCAGUAACAAUUCACUAAAGAGUUCAGAGGAAUUUCUACCUUACCUUAAUGAGAUUGGUGGAGCUAAACCCGUAGUCGUCAUCCUGACCGGUCUCAACUAGCAGCAACUGCAGGUUGUGGCCGCUGUAGUAGAAGAAGAGGAAGUCCAGAUCAAGUGGCUUAUCUAGAAUUAUUCAAGCGAAGAUCUUUGAACAUAUAAAUACAGACGAACUGCAGUGCAUCGACAGUAAAUGACAACAAGACAUUUGCAUAAUCUGCAACACAUGCAUGCUAGCAUAUCUACGAAGCAGGGAACACAAUAUACGAAAAUCUAAACUCUUUCUACCGCGCCCUUUCUUCUGCUCUUCCACAGGUUCCUCCUCAUUUUGAACUUCAACGGACUUCUGUUUAACCAACAGGCAACGGCACCAAUGUCAACAAAGAAGAAGAAAUAACUAACAGGAAGUACUAUACUGAUCAAGAAACCAAACAGUGAGAGACAUAUCCAACAUACAUCUGUGAUCUGCUCCAUCUUAUUAAGAAGAAAUUCUGAAUAGUGUUGUGUCUUUGUCAGCAGCUCGCCCAGCUUGCUGAACCGUGCAUUUGAUCAAAAGCCUUCUGAGCUUCUCUCUUCCUGUCCUCUUCUUCCUCUGCCUUGAGCCGGGCCU